GACGUCAGCCUCGCCUGGCCUUACAGCCAGCGACUGAGUGGCUUACCCAAAGUGCGGAACCAAAGUUCCUGCUUCUGACUGGUUGACAGAACCGCUCAUCCCAGCGCGACAACGCCUUUCUGACAAUCGCCGGGGUGUCAUCAUUGGUAGGAGGAUGAACCUCCUGCCUCAGCGGAAGCUCAGGCGAAACUCGACAACGAGGCGGUGGUCUUGGACUCUGCUGGGAGACAUUGCGGAUGCUUUGCGUUUUCGUGUUGCAUAAGUUCAAAUUUUGAAGUCGUCUCUAAUGGUGUCGCUAACUUCUUUUUUACUUUCCCUCUUGUGUGUGCCGCGAAUUAAAGUCAAAAAGGGUGGGGAAAGCAUUGAUUGAGUGGGUCUCCCUGUACCUAUUAAGAUUGGAUGCAAGUUAGUUGUCAAGUUUAGGUAAUGUUUCUCGUAGCUCUUAACCCAAACUUUUUUAAGCUAUUGGAAAUACAAGUCUCAUUUGAGGAGUAUUCAGUAUGUAUUCAUGUGUUUUGGCAACGAAGCUGAAUAAAGAUGAGAUAAAGUGUGU
rnacentral:lncRNA from 1 species